CAUGCAAGUCGAGCGGUAACAUUUCUAGCUUGCUUGAAUAUGACGAGCGGCGGACGGGUGAGUAAUGCUUGUGAACAUGCCUUGUGGUGGGGGACACCACUUGUAAACAACUGCUAAUACCCCAUAAUGUCUACAGACCAAAGGGGGCUUCUGCUCUCUCCUUUUUAUUGUCCCAAGUGGGAUUAGCUAUUUGGUGAGGUAAUGGCUCACCAAGGCGACAAUCCCUAGCUGGUUUGAGAGGAUGAUAAGCCACACUGUGACUGAGACACGGCCCACACUCCUACGGGAGGCACCAGUGGGGAAUAUUGCACAAUGGGCGCAAGCCUGAUGCAGCCAUGCCGCGUGUGUGAAGAAGGCCUUCGGGUUGUAAAGCACUUUCAGUCAGGAGGAAAGGUUAGUAGUUAAUACCUGCUAGCUGUGACGUUACUGACAGAAGAAGCACCGGCUAACUCCGUGCCAGCAGCCGCGGUAAUACGGAGGGUGCGAGCGUUAAUCGGAAUUACUGGGCGUAAAGCGUACGCAGGCGGUUUGUUAAGCGAGAUGUGAAAGCCCCGGGCUCAACCUGGGAACUGCAUUUCGAACUGGCAAACUAGAGUGUGAUAGAGGGUGGUAGAAUUUCAGGUGUAGCGGUGAAAUGCGUAGAGAUCUGAAGGAAUACCGAUGGCGAAGGCAGCCACCUGGGUCAACACUGACGCUCAUGUACGAAAGCGUGGGGAGCAAACAGGAUUAGAUACCCUGGUAGUCCACGCCGUA
rnacentral:rRNA from 1 species